rnacentral:lncRNA from 1 species
GGGGCGAUGGAGACCUGGGAGCUCAGAGAUCCGGAGCCCCGGGGACCUGCAGACCUAGGGGACUCACACAGCCCGGAUCGCAUAGACCCAGGACCUCACAGAGCCAGAAUCGCAUAGAUCCGGCACCGCAGAGCCUCGGGACCUCAAACACGCUGGGACUCAAAGACUUCGCCUCCCACUUCCCAAUCCUGCACAAACUCCUCAUGAGACCCUGGGAGCUCACCGAUCUCCAGAGCCACCCUGCUCAAAGACCCCGGGAACCUCACAGACCCCGGGCCCCCUCCCAGCUCCUCUGAGAUACCGUAUUGUCCGUGUUGUCGUUCCCCUAACCCCUUGCAGCAAGGCCCUGCACGGGCCUAAAAACUGCCCCAGCUCCUUAGAUAUUGCUCCCUCUCUCCUUGCCCACACUUCCCUUCCCUGUAACAUUCAAAGGCUCUCCUUCCAGGACCCGGCCAACUCCUUGAAGACCCCACUCAGGACCAGGACAGACGGGGCCCCUCCCUCAUUCCAAACCUGACAUUCCUCACCCUUGCCCACAAGGGGCCCCAGAUAUACCCGAAUACUCGAGAGACUCUGGAGACAAGGCUUGGCCUGGCAGAGACACCUACCUAUUCCUUUCCAACUGCUCCACGCACACCCCAGGGUUCCGAGGUUUGGACCGCCUAGAGCCACUCCAGCACCCAACGUUGCCCUGAUGCCAGAGCUCAGCCCUCCAUCCUCUCCAACACUCCAAUUCACCGUUCUCAAGGUAUCUUCUACUUCCAAAACAAGCCCUCUUCCCUAUCGGCCCUCACACCCUCUGUCUUGGCUAGUUUUGUGUCAGCUCGACCAGGGACACAAGCUAGGUUCAUCUGAGAGGAGAAAAACUCAGUUGAGAAAACGCCUCCAUAAGAUAAGGCUGUAUGACAUUUUCUUAAUUAGUGAUUGAUGGGGGGUGGGAGGGAACACAGCCCAUUGUGGUGCCAUCCCUGGACUGGUGGUCCUGGGUUCUAUAAGGAAGCAGGCUGAGCAACGUAGGGGAAGACAAGCCAUCAGCUCCUGCCUCCAGGUUCUUGCCUGGUUUGACUUCCUGACUUAGCAUCCCUCAGUAGACUGUAAUUCGGGACAUGUAAGCCAAAUAAACCCCUCCUCCACCCCC